AUACGUAGGGUGCAAGCGUUAAUCGGAAUUACUGGGCGUAAAGCGUGCGCAGGCGGUUUUGUAAGACAGAGGUGAAAUCCCCCGGCUCAACCUGGGGACUGCCUUUGUGACUGGAAGGCUAGAGUACGGCAGAGGGGGGUGGAAUUACGGUGGAUGGGGUGGAAUGCGUAGAUAUGCGGAGGAACACCGAUGGCGAAGGCAAUCCCCUGGGCCUGUACUGACGCUCAUGCACGAAAGCGUGGGGAGCAAACAGGAUUAGAUACCCUGGUAGUCCACGCCCUAAACGAUGUCAGCUGGUUGUUGGGUCUUCAUUGACUCAGUAACGAAGCUAACGCGUGAAGUUGACCGCCUGGGGAGUACGGCCGCAAGGUUGAAACUCAAAUGAAUUGACGGGG
rnacentral:rRNA from 1 species